rnacentral:rRNA from 1 species
GGCCUGGCCGGGUGGUCUGCUUAACGGCAUGUACUGUCUGGGUGGGCCUUACCUCUUGGUGAGCCGGCGUGCCCUUCAUUGGCGUGCGUCGGGGAACCAGGACUUUUACCUUGAAAAAAUUAGAGUGUUCAAAGCAGGCGUAACCUUGCCAUUGAAUAUUACAGCAUGGGAUAAUAGAAU